UACGAAGGGUGCAAGCGUUACUCGGAAUUACUGGGCGUAAAGGGUGCGUAGGUGGUUUUUUAAGUCCGUUGUGAAAUCCCUGGGCUCAACCUGGGAAUGGCAGUGGAUACUGGAAAGCUAGAGUGCGGUAGAGGGUAGUGGAAUUCCCGGUGUAGCAGUGAAAUGCGUAGAGAUCGGGAGGAACACCAGUGGCGAAGGCGGCUACCUGGACCAGCACUGACACUGAGGCACGAAAGCGUGGGGAGCAA
rnacentral:rRNA from 1 species